GUGCUCGCUUUGGCAGCACAUAUACUAAAAUUGGAAUGAUACAGAGAAGAUUAGUACGGCCCCUAUGCAAAGAUGACAUGAAAAUUCAUGAAGCAUUCCAUAAAAAA
rnacentral:snRNA from 1 species